rnacentral:rRNA from 1 species
AGGGCACCACCAGGAGUGGAGCCUGCGGCUCAAUUUGACUCAACACGGGAAACCUCACCAGGCCCAGACACCGGGAGGAUUGACAGAUUGAGGGCUCUUUCUUGAUUCGGUGGGUGGUGGUGCAUGGCCGUUCUUAGUUGGUGGAGCGAUUUGUCUGGUUAAUUCCGAUAACGAACGAGACUCUAGCCUGCUAAAUAGUCGCAUCCGGUAUCCUCUGUGCUACCGGCGACCAACAAUCUUCUUAGAGGGACAGGCGGCUUCUAGCCGCACGAGAUUGAGCAAUAACAGGUCUGUGAUGCCCUUAGACGUUCUGGGCCGCACGCGCGCUACACUGAGGGAAUCAGCGUGUCCUCCCUGGCCGAAAGGUCCGGGUAACCCGCUGAACCUCCUUCGUGCUAGGGAUUGGGGCUUGCAAUUGCUCCCCAUGAACGAGGAAUUCCCAGUAAGCGCGAGUCAUAAGCUCGCGUUGAUUACGUCCCUGCCCUUUGUACACACCGCCCGUCGCUACUACCGAUUGAA